AGUUACGACUUUCCGGGACUGUUGGGAAGGAUGCAAUUGGAGAAACUGGCUGUUUUACCAAGGCUUUGACUGGAAGGGUAUGCUUCCCUUUAAGGAAUCAAGCUUGACUUGCAGAGCUGACAAAAACUCCUUGGGAAAACUGGCCUCAUAUCUUGUCUAUACUGUCCUUGUACAGGGUUCCUAAUCUGCAGCGAGUAAAGAAUGUUAUUUUCUAACAGGCCCAGGAACAUCAUGUUCUCGGGGCCUCAAAAACAGAGGAGUUUACUCAACUCACAGGUACUUGAAGGUACAAACCCAUGGCUGGGCUGGGCUUUAGAAAGUCCUAUCUGAGAUUCCAGGUGGAGCAAAGUGUUAUCAAAGUCAACCUAAAAGUCCUAUGU
rnacentral:lncRNA from 10 species